AGCCUAAACUUGGUUCUUUAAGCUUGAGAACUAGGCAUGGUGAAAACCGAUGAAGGAUGGAAAACCCAUCAUGGGAAUACCUUCAUCGGUCCUGUCGGGAAACUGGCAGCGGGUAGCCUAGCUACC
rnacentral:sRNA from 12 species